rnacentral:rRNA from 1 species
UACGUAGGGGGCAAGCGUUGUCCGGAUUUAUUGGGCGUAAAGAGCGUGUAGGCGGCCUGGUAGGUCAGCUGUGAAAACUCGAGGCUCAACCUCGAGACGCCGGUUGAAACCAUCAGGCUAGAGUCCGGAAGAGGAGAGUGGAAUUCCCGGUGUAGCGGUGAAAUGCGUAGAGAUCGGGAGGAACACCAGAGGCGAAGGCGGCUAGCUGGACAAGCACUGACACUCAACUACGAAAGCGUGGGGAGCAAACAGG